rnacentral:lncRNA from 1 species
AUAUACAUAUGUGUUUGUUAAAGUAGAAGCAUAUAUGUACGUACUUACACGUAUCUAUCUAUCUAUCUAUAUAUAUAUGUGUAUUUAUACAUACUUAAGUGUAUAUCCACGUGUAUAUUCACUUAUCUAUACAUUUUUGUUCUUUCCCUAUUUUUAAAGUCUUUUCGUAAAAAAUGAAGUAUUGCCGACCCUAGCAAAAAUAGAACAUGAACAGUUAAAAGAGAAAGAGAAAUAUAAAGAAGUUUUUAAAAACAUAAAUGACUACAACUCAAACUUUAACAGACAGACCUUUUUGCAACUUCUUAUAGAUUUAUAUAACAUUUUUUUAAAAAUUGAUGAAUUUUUUUUAACUUAUAAAAAUGAGUUUUCACUACUUACGUAUACUGGUCCUAUGUUACUGACUAAUUAUCUUUAUGAUGACAUUAUUUAUUUGACUACAGUGGUUGAGAACUCUGAUGACAUAACAGUUAGUCAAUAUGGAAAAGAAUAUAUUUUACACCUAGAACAUUUAGUUGAGCAUAAUAAAUUAAAAUUUUUAGCCCAUUGUUAUUUAUUUUACAAAAAUUUCCAUCUAACGAAAGAGCACUUAUUAAAUAGCAUUUGUAAAUAUUUGGAUAUUGGUAAAACAUUAAAGUCAUCAAAACACGUUUCAGACGUAGACAACUUUGAAGUAAGUUUAAAUAUUUUUUAUAUUGUACAACACUUUUUUUAUUUUUUUUUUUAUUUUUAUGCUUUAUAUAAUGGGACAUUCAGUUUUCGAAAUUGUGAAAACUUUAUUUUAUGUAUAAUUAUAAUUAAAAGAUAAUAAAUAAAGGCAUGAAAAAAAAAAAAAAAACUGAAACAUAAACUGAAACAUAAAAUGAAACAUAAAAUGUUAAAAAUAAAUGCCUAUAAUUAAUCA